UUUCCGUAGGUGAACCUGCGGAAGGAUCAUUAAUGAGUUGUCAUGGGGUUCGAUGCUGGCAGCCAAUUUUUGGAUGCAUGUGCUUGCCCUAACAAUCAUCUUCCAAACACCUGUGCACAUUUUUGAGGGAGUCUUGAGUUGGUUGCCGCUCUUGGGUGAUUUUCUCACAUUCCCUUAAACCAUAAUACGCUAUUAACAAUGUUGAACGUGCUCUGUGCCGCAAGGCUAUUAAUAUAAUACAACUUUUAACAACGGAUCUCUUGGCUCUC
rnacentral:misc_RNA from 1 species